CAACCCAAUCAUAAGACUUAAUGUGCAUUUGUCCCAACAAAAGCUUACUGAAAACAGUCAUUCCUGGGUGGUUAUGAAGAGGAAUGACUCCUUUUGAAGGUAGGAAAAAAAUACAUAGCUGCAUGUACAAAAAAAUACACUUAAAUUAAUUACAUAUAUAUUCUAGCUAGUAAUUGCAUUGGUGACAAACGAUUAAAAUAAGAGAUUGCAAGACUUACUGAAAAAUUAUCACAUUUGUAUAUGGUUGUAUAUGUGACCCUUGGAUUCUCUCUGAAAAUGCUUUCAGGUUUGAAGAACUGCAAAUCUUUACUUAGUCCAACAUCUUCUGGCUUCAUGUUGUCUGGUUAUUAAAAAAAAUAUAAUUAAGAACAAUACUUGUGGUUUGUUUUUUAACCAUCGAGCUUCAAAGAAAAGAGACCAUGAUAAUUCAGAGUUCGGCCGAGUGAUAAGUCUGACAAAUAAUAAUUUAAAAGGAAUAUCUUGUGAAAGAUAAAAGGUGACUAUCUUGUGUUAGAGAUUUGAAACAUAUGUUAUUUUAAUUUUUAAAUGGGAACUAGAGAAAGAACGUAUCAAUCAGUCAAAUACUCAACUUAACUAUAAUAAAUUAUGCAUUAACC
rnacentral:lncRNA from 1 species